GGGAGGCCAAGGGCCAGACACAGGCGUGGCAUCGCUGGGGAAGCGCAGGGCUCGGGGGGCCGGCCAGUUCUGCAGUACCCCUUCGGGAAGCUUGGUCUACAACCUUGUUCUCCAGGCCGCCCACAGUUGUGCGAACCACCCAAUAUCCUGUUUUGGUUAAAUCCAUCAGAAUCUGUUUCCGUGGCUGGCAUCGACUAAUGAACUAACCCUGAUUUGUCACAUGCCAAUUACUAGACCUUUAAAUCUCAUGAGAUUCUCUGAGGUAGCAAUUCUCGUUUUCUAGAUGAGGCAAACAUGCCCAGAGAGGUUAAGUAUUUCAUCCACAGUCACACAGCACAGCAGUACCAGCUGCGUGUAGCCCCCUCACCCAGCUCAGUGCCUGACACCCAGCAGGUGCUUCAUGUUUGGCUUUAAUAAACACAGCACGUGAGUACAUGAGAAUGAGAACCUCCGCCUGCGCUGGUGGGUCUGGGGUGGGGCAGGCCAUGGUGAGGGCAGGUGACCAUCCAGGGAAGUCUCUGCCCUCCCCUAGGGCCCCUUCUCCUCCUCGGCAUCCCUUGUCGUGCCUGCUGCCCGGGCUCCUCCGGCGCUUGGUUACCCACCUGGCCCUGGAAGGCACCGUCUCCUCCCCCAAGGCUGAGGAGUGACUCCCUGGCACCUGAAGCCUUGCCGUCCACCUGUAGGGCUGCUCGGAGGCAGCCGUCUCCCCCUGGCGCGUGUGAAGCCAGUUUCUUUGGGACGGUAGUUUGGACGCCAUAAGGAACAGGACAGAGCAAGGCCACCCCCUUUUCUAACUGAUGACCUUCAGAUGUGGGAGGGCAGCGUGUGACGACUGUGUGCCGCCCAGCGCCCUUCCAUUCUGCUCUGGGUUUUCUUCCUGAAGCGCUUGCCCUCCCUCCCCUCCACCCCCGGGUCCUCCCCGGAAGCACUUUCAGUUCCUGCACCUCCAGUGGUCCUGCCCAGAUGGAGGGUCCGUUGUGCCUCCCCUUGGGGUCUGAGGGCUGCAGGGCAAGUGAGGUCUGCCCAGCCGGCUCACAGGUUCCUUGCUUCCUUGCUGGGGUCCCCUAUGACAGGAUUCAAACUCUGGCUCCCUUCUUACUGGCUGGGUGACUUUGGGCAAGUUAUGAAACCUCUCUGUGCCUCAGUUUCUGCAUCUGUAAAAUGGGGUAAUAAUAUCUGCCUCAAAGAAUUAUCGUUAAGGACUGACGGCGUAUUUCCUAACCCCUAGCGUGCUGCAUAGUGUCACAGAAUUGUCCAUUAGUAGUAAAACCGCCCAUGUCAGUGUCACUAGUGUUUUUGAAUAUCAGCAGUGCCACCCCUCAUAUUCAGUUUAUAGCCAGUUUAAAAUGCAGUCUUUUUUCUUUUUUUUUUUCUUUUUACUUCUUCUCUUGUAUAAACAGGCCCUGCUGCUCAGGCCCAUCCCUGCAGCGUGCGCUUCAGCCGUUGGAUUUUCACAGCAGAAACGGGACUUGCGGCCGUUCCCCCUGGGUGUUCAGCCUCGGGGCCCCCCGGGGUGCUCCACGGGAAGGUCUGUGAACACCCUGUGGGAGGGAGCAGGGUCGGAGGGUCUCCACGGAGGGGAGGCGAGCAGGCAAACCUCAGGCCACUAGGCCACAAAGACCCAGGACAUCUUUCUCUAGCUGCAAGUCAGAAUCCAUUAUCUAGACUCUCGGGCAGUAGGCAUGCAUGCCCGCUGACCCGGCGGCUGCGCAUUGUGUCGGGGGCCAGAGACGAGGAGGUCACCGUGGAAAGACCCUGGUCGCUGCCUCUUCCACCCUUGCUGCCCAGGGCGAGGCUACAAAUGGCGUAGCAGGUUUUUCUGACGUUCUCCUGGACUUACAACCACCUGUGAAUCUUCUUUUCUGGGCUCCGUGCUUCGCUCUGUCCUCUCCUCGCGAUCUCACCAAGCGCCAGGGACUCAGACUCAAGCCGCCUGCCGACAGCUCCUGUGUGUCUCCAGACCAGACUUCUCGGGCGUCAGCCUGCAACGAGUCUCUGCCGGGCAUCCACAGGGGACCCCAGGGUCAGACCCUGCCCCCACCACCUGCUCCUCCUCCGCUGCUUUGGGAAGUAGAUGGCAGCUCCAUCCUGUGCCUGUUUAUGUUCCCAGUAUGGAAGUCACCCUGAUGCCUCUCGAACCCCAUGCCCAGCCCAUUAUCCAGUCCUGCUGGCUUGGCCUUCAGCAGAUGGCCAGGACCUGCCUGUGCCCACCCCUCCGGGGAGCCAGCUCACCCCAAGGACACCACCUUGUCCCAUCCAGAUCUCUGCCCCCUAACUGCCCCCUCUUGGGGUCUGGGACUCGCUUCUGCCUUACAGCCAGAGCAACUGUUUCAAAAAUCAAGUCAUGCCAGAAACUUUCAAUUAACAAAGUCAUAUUAAAAAUGAAGGCAAUAGUCAAAA